rnacentral:tRNA from 1 species
ACUUAAAUAGCUUAUAAAGAGCAUAAUAUUGAAGAUAUUAAGGAAGUUUUUACUUUUAAGUAUUAGAUA